rnacentral:lncRNA from 1 species
AUGGAUUGAAGCCAAAUUACAAAGGCCCUGGUUGUUAUACUGAGGACUUCAGCCUUUAUUCUGGAUCAGUGGACUCCAGGUCUCACGGAAUGCUGAAUUUUUCGAGCACUCACCACAAGAACCAGAACAGGCCUUAGGGAUCAGCUGGUCAUUUGACAUGUAACGGAGAAGAUGAGAGAAGACCAAGGACACACCGCUUAUGGGAGUCAAGAUCAGGACUCUUUCAUGAGGCCGUAUUACGUAGAAAUCAUGCAUCGGACUUACUUGAGUAUUGGUAUUUAGCACCAACACCAAAGUUCAAGAAGAGGAAACAGUACAGCAGUUGCAGUUUCAUAGUCUGAAAAGUACCUGUGUAUUGUUUUCUUUUAAAUCCUUGUGGUAGAGUUGCCUUAUAAUUCUCUUGUUGGAAGAAAGAACAAAGACACUUUAGAAGCAAAGCUGGAUCAGGUUUUUAUUACAUAUUUUAUUAGAUGUUUGGGACAAGAUGACCAAAUUUAAAUAACAUGCUAUAGAAUAUUAAGAUUCAAUAGCAGUUUCAUAUUCCAGAAUACAAAGAGUUAAACUUCUACGUCAAGACCUUCAAAGGUCAUGGUUAAGAGGCAAACAGAAGAGUGCAGAGGUCCCAUCACGACCUGUCUGCUGAAGGCCUCCAUGCCCCUUCGGAUGGGAGCUUUGGGUCAGUUGUACAGUCACAUGGCUCACCCAUUGGUUCGUGUUUUUUUCCAGAAAUAGAAUCAAUAGAGAACAGACAAACCCACAGUUGCCAGUUUGUACAGUCUUGUGGUUUCUGUCAGGGGCUACAGGCUCGAGCAGGUCUACCAGAUAAUGAAGGCAAACUAUUUCAGUUCCUGUGGGUCCAGAGCGCCUCAGCAGAGUUCUGGUUUCAAACAAAUGAAUAACAAAUUAAAAGGUACAGUAAAAUAAGGGGGUGGUUAAAAUAUAUUAACUAAAAUCAAUGGAGGAGAAACGUAGUUAAAAAGCCUGCAUUCUCAGCAGUAGUCUGUGAUGUAUUUUGUUAAUCUCUUAAAAUUUAUGUUAAAAGCCUUUUAACAGAAAGUCAAUAUAUUUGGGUGGUUGAGCGAGUAUAUCAUCCUCUACCGGCAGUUGCAUUAAAUACGAGGCAGGCUCCACUGUUUGUAGGAAAUGAACAGGGGUCCAUCCAACGGAAGUCCCACCUCAAGGAGACCAGACAUUUUUCCCAAAACAGCCUGUGGAGCCAAGCUCACUAUUAGCCCCCCCCCCUUUGCUUAGGUUCCCCACUGACGUCAACGAGAGUCCUGGAAAUGAAGCGGGAUCAGAAUACCAGAAGCAUAGCCUAAUAAUAGAGCCAAAAUGGAGAGCAGAUGGAAAAUAAAACUUCUCAAUAAAGUGUGACCUAAUGUUAUAAAUUUGUUCAAGGAAAGAAAACAACAACAGUGAAGCAAAAAGGCCUGUAAGCAGACUUACAGGGGUGAAAGUUCUGGAACAUAGCUGACUAGAAAAACACCUAGAUACUUAGAAACCUUCCAGAAAAAGA